GCCAUUUUGAGGGACAGCCUUCCAUUUUUCUGAAAUCUUAAAGCUAACCUGGAGAACAAAAUAUUGGUAUUGCUGGUGUCAGAAGCUAUAAAUAAACAUGUGAUCUCAUCCUCAGAGGUUCAUUCUUGGAAUAACUUCCUGGCUGCGUAUCGGAUACCAGAACAUCAGUAACUGCACUGCAAUGGCAAGAUAGCAGUACCUAUCAGUCUCAUAAAGCCACAAAAAGCUGGAACACAGUCAUCAAAUCUCAGUGGCAAGAGAAUCAGAGACAGAAACAUGGAGAUCAAAAAAAAAAAAAGAAAGUUCAAGAGUGGGAGACUCAAAGGUAUGCCUAAGGCAAGUCCACCACUUCACCCAUAUCUUCUCUUCUCUUGACCAAGAGUGAAAGGUCUAUGUUUAUAGCCAGCACGGAUGGUAACAGAGUCUCUGAUCCCAUGUCCAUUGACGUCCUCACUUCCUGCUCACCUGAUGGCACUGAGAAGUGUUAAUAAACAGAGUCCUUGCCCUGUCUUUCUAAAACUUCUCUCCAUCUUUCAACCCCCUUCUCCAUCCUAGUGCCCCCUAUACCAGCCUUAUGAGAACCCCGGGGACCCCCACAAUGCCCAGGAGGCUGGCCUAUUGUUCCCAGUUUAAUUACUUCUCCCUGGGGUCUCCCACUCAGAGCACCCCUACUUGCUGUCCCUCACCUCUGAGCAGCGGGACCCCGAUGAGAUGGGAAAAGGAAAAAGAAAGAAGAGACCAGAGGCCUUCAAGACAAGCUUAUUCACCUACAUCCUAUUUUAU